rnacentral:rRNA from 1 species
UACAGAGGUCUCAAGCGUUGUUCGGAUUUACUGGGCGUAAAGGGCGCGUAGGCGGCGUGACAAGUCACUUGUGAAAUCUCCGGGCUUAACUCGGAACGGUCAAGUGAUACUGUUGUGCUAGAGUACAGAAGGGGCAAUCGGAAUUCCUGGUGUAGCGGUGGAAUGCGCAGAUAUCAGGAGGAACACCAAUGGCGAAGGCAGCCUCCUGGGUCAACACUGACACUCAUGCACGAAAGCGUGGGGAGCAAACAGG